GAUUCUUGGCACUCUGAUCACUAGAAGGGUUACUUUCUUUAACUAUAUUGCUGUAGGAAUGCAUCUUUUAAGUAUCCUGCUGCAUUAUUUUGACGUGACCUUCAUAUAUUUUCAGCUUAUAGUUUCUGGAAUUCUUUUUCUCCCGAUAAGAAGCAAUGUUGCUGGGUGUGCUUUUUCUAACAAACCUUGAUGGAAGAUCAGGGAAAAAAAAGCUAAUAUAUCUGAUGGCUUGAUAAUUUCAGGAUCAAAACAGAUUUUAAGCGUUUAUCUUCUUGCACUUCUUGAUGAAUCUGUUUGACCAGGCAGCUGGUGUAUGAGAUCUAGCCGGCAGCACACAGAACACAUUAGGAAAACAAAGAGAAUGUGAGAUUAAACUGAAAAGAGGCAAGAGCAGCAUUUCCUCACCGUUCUGCAUGAAGGCAGAAGAUGCUCUGAAAGGAUACAAACUCAGUUUUCUUACUGGACCUAUGGCCUCUCUCCCCCAUCAGAUUAUUCAAAGAUGAUUGGUGCUGAGAAGGCUGGACGUUGGCAGCAGAAGUACAGUGCUAGUCCCUGGACUCCCUGCUUAACCCCACUGGAGCUCCCCGCUGUUGCGGCUUCCUCUCUGAAGAGCCUUCCAGCAACUGCUCAUUUUGGCAGGAUCUCCUUCCAUCUGCUCCCUUGCCUUGCCUAGGCUCGACCCAGAAAUCCUCUGUGUGUGUGAGCAACCUCUACCAGUUCUCCAGCCCAGGCUCCCUGCCUGGCUGACAUCUCAGAAGCCCUACAUCAGCAGGCAGGAAAGAGUAGAAGGGUAUUAUUUCUCAUACUCAGCUUUUCUUCUCUUUGGCCGGAGUCAUCCAUAAGCCCAAACAGUUGUACAGUUUUCCUCUCUCAGUUUUCCAUCUUUUCUACUCUGAGUAGUCCUCCUGCAGCCUGGUGUGUACAUCCUCUCUCUGCCUGCUCUAACUCCAAGUCUGCCAUAAUCAAACCACUUCUGUCUCGUCUUCCCCUGUGUCAGUGACCCUCUCCUUCAGCUUUGAAUGCAGGAAUGAGAAGCUGCCUGCUAUGUGAACAAAGGCAGUAGGGUAUAGGACCCACAGAGCAAAAACAUGAAGCUCUAACUUCCAUGUGUUCAACUUGGGCUUUAUGGCUACUUAGGGCUCUGACUUGCAUGAGAUUCAGGCACUCAUAGAAAGCCCUGGAAAUCCCGCAGGCCUUAGAAAUUGCCCUUUGCAUGUUUAGCUUGAAAACCAACUCAUGUUCCACUUAUCCAGCCACAAGAGACUUGGGUUGCACGUGAGACAUGCUUAACAGUCUGUACCAGCCCCCAUGUCUUGGCUGUAGUCUGAAAAAACAUGUGGCUGUGGUUUUGGUUGCUUCCAUCUGCUUUAACAAGGGCUGGUAUAAAUAGCUGUCUGGGUCUCUACCUCUUACCUCGCUUUGGUUCAUGCUACUAGACCCAUCUCAUAGUAGACCUCUCUCCAUUGUGUCUCUUUUGGUUAGCUACUAAUGCCUUUCCUACAUUGUAGCUUCUUGGUUUCCCACCACAGUACUGCUGCAUUUUCUUACCAUUUGGCCUGGAAGAUGCAGUAUUGACUCAGAAACUGAAGAGCUUUUAACCUUAUUACCUUGAGUAGUGGCCCACACCAGCAAUAAAAAGGAGAGGGCUGAAGAAAACCUCAGUGAUGGUACUGUUGCAGCAGAUGAUUUAUGCGUUGUUUUUUUUUGAAAGAAAGAUUAAUGAUGAAACAUCUUCCUGAAGGACACACUGAAAAACUUUAUGCAGAGUGUGUUACCAGCAUGCAGAAUAGGAUGUGUGCACCAGCAUGAACCAGUCUGCUCUUGGGACUUGAUGCCAUCUUGCUUGCAGAUUUUUGUAUUGUCUGGAAGAGAAAUGGAAGAAGGUGGGAGGACAUGUUAGACAGAAGCUGAUGCACCAGAGAGGGCAGGCUCAGAUAGAGUGCUGGAGUGAGAUAGGAGUGCAAUGUUUCUUCUGUGAUGGUCACGGAGAGCUUCAAACCCAAAACUGUGGAAUGGAGUUGUGAGUUGGCCAGAUGGAAGCAUGUCUUCACUCCAUGGUACAUGACAAAGCGACUUCGUCGUGUUCUGUCUUUACUCUCAGCUGUGCUUGGCAACUUCAUCCACAUCCUGGGAAGAAUGGACAGGAGGAAGUGCAGAGGGGAGCCGGUGGGCAGAGUCCUAUGACAGUAACCCUUCCCAGAUGAUGGCAUAAUGGCUGCAGCUUGCUCUGUCACCUAUUUAUGUGGCAGGUGGGGCUAACUAAGCAGUUAGGAAAUAGAACCACUUUCCUGAUUGGGGUCAGAAGGUAAAACACAAUAAACUCUGUUUUCAAUAUGACAAGUCUUUGUUUUUAUUGUUGUUUAUACAUACAGUUGCCACCAGAAAUAACUUUGGUUCAUUUGUAGUUUCCUUUUCUGGUUGGCACACAGAAUUUAGCUAUUCAGUUCUUUGAUGUUCCAGCAAAUAGCCAGACAAUUUUUAAAAUAAAUGUUCUCUUAGAGUUUGUGUA